rnacentral:rRNA from 1 species
UACGUAGGGGGCAAGCGUUGUCCGGAAUCAUUGGGCGUAAAGAGCGCGUAGGCGGCUAGAUAAGUCCGCUGUGAAAUCUCGAGGCUCAACUUCGAGCUGUCGGUGGAAACUGUCUGGCUAGAGUCCGGAAGAGGAGAAUGGAAUUCCUGGUGUAGCGGUGAAAUGCGCAGAUAUCAGGAAGAACACCCGUGGCGAAGGCGGUUCUCUGGGACGGUACUGACGCUGAGACGCGAAAGCGUGGGGAGCGAACAGG